UGGGAAAGGGGGCUCUGACUGCUUCCUGGUGUUGCUCCUGUGCCUGCUGCUCCACUUUUCUCAUUGUGGGCCUGUCCUGAGAGCCCUGAGCUUCCGUUUGGUUUAUAGCCUGGCAAUGUGGACCGUGAUGCGGGACAACUCUCAACUGAAGGUCCUGAACUAAGCACUUUAUUUGCAGCACUUUGCCCUCACAAAGACCAUAUGGGAUAGAUAUACUAAAUGCUAAAUGGCAUGGCGUUAAGAAUUCAGCCUCUGGGCUUAAGCCGGAUCCCCUCGCUUACCAGUGAUGUUGGAUUUAAACAAUCUGGAUUUAACUGAUAUUUACUGAGCAUCUGCUAAGAAGCAUGCCUAUACUAGUAGCUUCUCCGUGUAUUUAAUCAUCAUAAAGUCACAACUGCCCCUGAAAGGAGACGAUGUUCUCUCCAUUUCAUCAAUGAGGAAAAUGAAAGCCUCAAGCUGGAAGUUUCUCAGCAGAGGCCAUGACAGAAGCGGGACCAGGACCCAGGUCUGGCUGACUUACGAAGACCACACACUCUCCACGUUCCUACGCAGUCUCCAUCCUGACCUCUGCUUCUCCUCAUCAGCAUCUGGAAGACAGAUGGCUGGGUUGGAAGUAUGUGGCCCAGAAUCUACCGCAGGCCCUCGCUGGGCAUCAGGCCCUGGCUCUGACCUCAUACACACCUCACAGACUCCACCACCUGAAGUGAACGUUACGGAGGUCACACUACACUGACCCAGCGGAACCACAUUUCUCUUGUUAUAAAGGAUUUCUCUUAAACAUUCUUUUAAAACUA